GACGGAGGAUGCAAGUGUUAUUCGGAUUCACUGGGCGUAAAGGGUGCGCAGGCGGUCGUGUGUGUCAGAUGUGAAAUCCCGGAGCUUAACUCCGGAACUGCGUCUGAAACUACACGACUAGAGCAUUGGAGAGGGAAGUGGAAUUCCGCGUGUAGCAGUGAAGUGCGUAGAUAUCAUGAGGAACACCAGAGGCGAAGGCGACUCACUGGACAAGUAUUGACGCUGAGGUACGAAAGCAUGGGGAGCAAACAGG
rnacentral:rRNA from 1 species